CCCGAUCUAUAACAGAUAUGAACUUGAUUCUUUUUUUACCUUAAAGAGCAUAUUACAUACUACAUAUAAAAACUUACAAACACCCAAAAAGACUAAAUAAUCACAGAGAUAUAAGGCCUGACAUUUGCCUAAAAAUAACAGAUUUCGGUUUUUUUAAAAGUUGGAAAAACUUUGAUUUUGAGCACUUUGAUGUUAUGGGUCAUGAAUCUAACAACCCAGAACAUUAAUACACUCCUUAUUACACAUAUUUAACAAAUCAAUUUCAACAAUUAACAUCAAAUCAAAG
rnacentral:lncRNA from 1 species